ACGAAUGUAAGGAGUGAUUCGAUUUGUUAAAAGAGACCGUUAACAUUGCAGCCAUUAUUCUCAAGGGGAACGUCCUAUUUCCUAUAUUUUCGAGAAAUUUCUGGUGCAAAUCCAUAUAAUUUCUUCCCGAUUUCAUCUUACCUUCUCCUCGUUAUUAAAAUAUUCACAAUGUCUUGGGAUAGCCACAUCCAACCCAUGAUGGCAGCUCAGAAGGGCACUGGACACUGUGCCAUAUGCGGGCAAGAUGGCGGCAUAUGGGCGUCCAGUCCGAGCUGCCCCCUUCAGCCCCAGGAGAUCAAGGAUCUUGUAGCGUUUGCCAAAUCGGGCGGCCAGCCUUCGGAUAAGAGAUACUUUUUCGGCGGGAUGAAACUGAUGUUUGUUAAGCAGGACACAACUGACAACGUUGCACAAUUCAUUUUUGCUCCGCAAUCCACCGCGGAGAGAAAAGUUACCGAUGAAGAGAAAGGCCUGGUUUGCGUUAUUAUAACAAAAACGGCGGCUGUAAUCACGUAUGUCAGUGGCACGAACCAGAGAGCCGCCGUUACUAGUUGUCUUAAUGAAGCUAAAUACCUGAAUGAAUGCAAUAUGUAGUUUGCUUAUGGUUGUGAGAAGUGAUAGUUUACAAAUUACUCUUAACAUGCAUUUGACCACUAACAAAUUUCGAUAUUUCAACCUUUUUUUGCUAGUUAUAUGUCAUGAAUUAAAAAAGUGUUACAACAAAAUUAUUUUUUCUUUGUUGUGUUACUAAUGUGUCAUAUGUGUGCUUUGUUUUGUCUUUUAUUUCAUGUUUUAUUCUUUCUAGCUUAAAAGCGACAUUUUUCAAGGAAAAAAUCGAGGGACUGUUGAAGCCUUGGUGUCAGUAAUGGUGUCAAUUGCAUCGUGAAAAAACCUGAACUUUCGCCUUUUAUAAUUCUGUUCAAGAUAUUCAAAUAAAAAUGGGUAAACAUGGUAACUCUUGGUUAAAUAAUUAUUCAUUUAUGGCCCUUUUACGACCGAUUAAACUACGAACAUUUGGUUUUGCUCCAAGUUUUUUGCAAUUUUGCUUUUUGGCUCUGUUCUUAUGUAUUUGAAAUCCAUGUAUCCACUUUGUUAGGACAGAGAUUAUUCUAGUACCGUAAAUUCAGUGAGAAAUUUAAGAUGUUAAAAAUACAUGUUAGAAAAAUUUCCAGCUGUACAUUGGUCUUUUUCAAUCAGGUUAAAAAUUUAUUUUACAAGAAGGGAUCCAUAUUUUAUAAUUUACAUUGAAUAUUUUUUAAUGUGAAAACCUAACUUGAUUGAAUAAAUAACAGAUUCGCUUGUUAAAUAUUUAUAUAUAAAGAAAUAUAGGCAAUUAACACAAAUCUAGAA